rnacentral:rRNA from 1 species
GCAGCAGCCGCGGUAAUACGAAGGGUGCAAGCGUUACUCGGAAUUACUGGGCGUAAAGCGUGCGUAGGUGGUUAUAUAAGACAGAUGUGAAAUCCCCGGGCUCAACCUGGGAACUGCAUUUGUGACUGUAUAGCUAGAGUACGGCAGAGGGGGAUGGAAUUCCGCGUGUAGCAGUGAAAUGCGUAGAUAUGCGGAGGAACACCGAUGGCGAAGGCAAUCCCCUGGGCCUGUACUGACGCUCAUGCACGAAAGCGUGGGGAGCAAACAGGAUUAGAUACCCCGGUAGUCCCUGUCUCUUAUAA